rnacentral:rRNA from 1 species
UACGUAGGGGGCAAGCGUUGUCCGGAAUCAUUGGGCGUAAAGAGCGUGUAGGCGGCCCGAUAAGUCCGCCGUGAAAGCCCAGGGCUCAACCCUGGGAUGCCGGUGGAUACUGUCGGGCUAGAGUUCGGAAGAGGCAAGUGGAAUUCCCGGUGUAGUGGUGGAAUGCGUAGAUAUCGGGAGGAACGCCAGUGGCGAAGGCGGCUUCCUGGACCGGUUCUGACACUGAGGAGCGAAAGCGUGGGGAGCGAUCCGG